rnacentral:rRNA from 1 species
GCAAGUCGAACGGCAGCGCGAGAGAGCUUGCUCUCUUGGCGGCGAGUGGCGAACGGGUGCGUAACGCGUGGGGAUCUACCCUAAAGAGGGGGAUAACCCGGGGAAACUCGGGCUAAUACCGCAUAUAUCUGACAUCCUUCGGGGUGUUUGGGAAAGAGUGGCCUCUACAUGUAAGCUACUGCUUUAGGAUGAACCUGCGUCCGAUUAGCUUGUUGGUGGGGUAAAGGCCUACCAAGGCGACGAUCGGUAGCUGGUCUGAGAGGACGAUC